GCGUCCUCCUACUGCAUUCAAGCAAUUCUCCUGCCUCAGCCUCCCGAGUAGCUGGGACUGAAGGUUCUCACCACCACCAUGCCGGGUUUCUUGUUUUUAGUAGAGACGGGGUUUCACCAUGUUGGCCAGGAUGGUCUCAAUCUCUUGCCCUCAUGAUCUGCCCGCCUCAGCCUCCCAACAUGCUGGGAUUACAUGUGUGAGCCACCGUGCCCAGUCUGCCAUCUGGUUUCCUAAUGUCACAAGUGAAUACAAGACCUGUGCCAAUGGGACCCAGCAUGAUGUAAUCCUCAUGAUGUUUCUUUUUCUCUUAUUGCAGGAGAAACAUGUCACCCAGUAUUGCCACCGUGCUGUUCAGGUCCCACAAGACCUCAGCCUGGAACACAUCAAGGAUGAUGAGCUACCCCGUGAUGUGGUGAGAUGCAUUUCUUUGUCUCAAAGAGAAAUUUUUAUUUCUGGGGCCUCUGGAAUAUCAAGUGAAGAUUAUUUUCGACUGCCAUUGUGAAUCAGACCUCAGUCGUCAUGAACUCUAGCGACCAGUCAGUGGAGAUUCUGACCACACUGAGGCCUGAUUGACGAUGUCAGUCAAAAGAUGGCAUAACUCAGAAUCUGGUCUUGUGCAUGUUUCUCAGUAGCCACAUUUUCUCCUUGAAAGAUAAUUUUGUACUUUUCAGCCAGCAUAGAUACCUGCUAAGUAUUCCAAACCCACUGCAUUUUCUGCAAGCAUCCCGUGCUCUAUUUGGGGCCUGUGACUUCAUCACUGUUUGACAUUUGGUUUUUUGCUUAGUUUAGUUUUGUUUUAGAGACAGAGUCUCUCUGUCACCAGGCUACAGUGCAGUGGUGUGAUCUCAGAGCACUGCAGCGUCCUCCUACUGCUUUCAAGCAAUUCUCCUGCCUCAGCCUCCCGAGUAGCUGGGACUGAAGGUUCUCACAACCACCAUGCCGGGUUUCUUGUAGUUUGUAGUAGAGAUGGCGUUUCACCAUGCCGGGUUUUUUGAAGUUUUCAGUACAGACAGGGUUUCAGCAUGUUGGCCAGGAUGGCCUCAACCU
rnacentral:lncRNA from 13 species